UAACCGUUGCUUUGGUGUCCACUCGA
rnacentral:sRNA from 1 species